rnacentral:rRNA from 1 species
GAUGAACGCUGGCGGCGUGCCUAAUACAUGCAAGUCGAGCGAACGGACGAGAAGCUUGCUUCUCUGAUGUUAGCGGCGGACGGGUGAGUAACACGUGGAUAACCUACCUAUAAGACUGGGAUAACUUCGGGAAACCGGAGCUAAUACCGGAUAAUAUUUUGAACCGCAUGGUUCAAAAGUGAAAGACGGUCUUGCUGUCACUUAUAGAUGGAUCCGCGCUGCAUUAGCUAGUUGGUAAGGUAACGGCUUACCAAGGCAACGAUGCAUAGCCGACCUGAGGGGGUGAUCGGCCACACUGGAACUGAGACACGGUCCAGACUCCUACGGGAGGCAGCAGUAGGGAAUCUUCCGCAAUGGGCGAAAGCCUGACGGAGCAACGCCGCGUGAGUGAUGAAGGUCUUCGGAUCGUAAAACUCUGUUAUUAGGGAAGAACAGAUGUGUAAGUUACUGUGCACAGCGUGACGGUACCUAAUCAGAAAGCCACGGCUAACUACGUG